rnacentral:sRNA from 1 species
UCAAAAAAGUAUUUUUAGAUGUUUGUUUUGCUUCUUUGAAGUAGUUUCUCUUUGCAAAAUUCCUCUUUUUUUAGAGUGAUUUGGAUGAUUCAAGACUUCUCGGUACUGCAAAGUUCUUCCGCCUGAUUAAUUAUCCAUUUUACCUUUGUCGUAGAUAUUAGGUAAUCUGUAAGUCAACUCAUAUACAACUCAUAAUUUAAAAUAAAAUUAUGAUCGACACACGUUUACACAUAAAAUCUGUAAAUCAACUCAUAUACCCGUUAUUCCCACAAUCAUAUGCUUUCUAAAAGCAAAAGUAUAUGUCAACAAUUGGUUAUAAAUUAUUAGAAGUUU